rnacentral:rRNA from 1 species
AGUUCGAUCAUGGCUCAGAUUGAACGCUGGCGGGAUGUUUUACACAUGCAAGUCGAACGGCAGCACGGACUUCGGUCUGGUGGCGAGUGGGCGAACGGGUGAGUAAUGUGUAUCGGAACGUGCCUAGUAGCGGGGAUAACUACGCGAAAGCGUAGCUAAUACCGCAUACGCCCUUCGGGGGAAAGCGGGGGACCUUCGGGCCUCGCACUAUUAGAGCGGCCGAUAUCGGAUUAGCUAGGUUGGUGGGUAACGGCUCACCAAGGCGACGAUCCGUAGCUGGUUUGAGAGGGAUUUACCAGCCACACUGGGACUGAGACACGGCCCAGACUCCUACGGGAGGCAGCAGUGGGGAAUUUUGGACAAUGGGGGAAACCCUGAUCCAGCCAUCCCGCGUGUGCGAUGAAGGCCUCGGUUGUAAAGCACUUUUGGCAGGAAAGAAACGGCACGGAUAAUACUCCCGUGCAACUGAUUUGCACUGCAGACAAGCACCGGCUAACCACGCCAGCAGCCGCGGUAAUACGUAGGGGUGCAAGCGUUAAUCGGAAUUACUGGGCGUAAAGCGUGCGCAGGCGGUUCGGAAAGAAGAUGUGAAAUCCCAGAGCUUAACUUUGGAACUGCAUUUUUAACUACCGAGCUAGAGUGUGUCAGAGGGAGGUGGAAUUUCCGCGUGUAGCAGUGAAAUGCGUAGAUAUGCGGAGGAACACCGAUGGCGAAGGCAGCCUCCUGGGAUAACACUGACGCUCAUGCACGAAAGCGUGGGAGCAAACAGGAUUAGAUACCCUGGUAGUCCACGCCCUAAACGAUGUCGUAACUAUUGGGUUAGGGCCUUCGGGCUCUGGUAGCGCAGCUAACGCGUGAAGUUGACCGCCUGGGGAGUACGGUCGCAAGAUUAAAACUCAAAGGAAUUGACGGGACCCGCACAAGCGGUGGAUGAUGUGGAUUUAAUUGACGCAACGCGAAAACCUUACCUACCCUGACAUGUCUGGAAUCCUGAAGAGAUUUGGAGUGUCGUAAGAGAACCGGAACACAGGUGCUGCAUGGCUGUCGUCAGCUCGUGUCGUGAGAUGUUGGGUUAAGUCCCGCAACGAGCGCAACCCUUGUCAUUAGUUGCUACGAAAGGGCACUCUAAUGAGACUGCCGGUGACAAACCGGAGGAAGGUGGGGAUGACGUCAAGUCCUCAUGGCCCCCAUGGGGUAGGGCUUCACACGUCAUACAAUGGUCGGGACAGAGGGUCGCCAACCCGCGAGGGGGAGCCAAUCCCAGAAACCCGAUCGUGGUCCGGAUCGCAGUCUGCAACUCGACUGCGUGAAGUCGGAAUUGCCAGUAAUCGCGGAUCAGCAUGUCGCGGUGAAUACGUUCCCGGGUCUUGUACACACCGCCCGUCACACCAUGGGAGUGGGUUUUACCAGAAGUAGUUAGCCUAACCGUAAGGAGGGCGAUUACCACGGUAGGAUUCAUGACUGGGGUGAAGUCGUAACAAGGUAA